UCUCCCUGUGCAUGCAGAAAAGAGGCCUAGCAGUCUGGGACUCUGCCUUGGAGUUUGGAACCCAAGGGGGAGCCAGGCUGCUGCCAAGGAGAUUGAUCCAGUCCAGGGGCUGUUGGAGUGCGGCUACAGACCGGGACUAGAUGCCAGCAUGAGGCAUAAUUACAGCCAUGUUCUAAUGAGGUGGAUGCUGACCUUGAGCAAGAAGGAAUAUUAACUAGACUGGUGAAAAUCCUAGGAGUGGAUAUGACCUAUUUAAAGCAAGGCAACCAAGGAUCAAUGAAUCAGGUGGUUCGAGGUUGUGAGGGCCAUAAACUCUGUCCUGCUGCGCAGGGUCAUCUGCCUGGGAGACCUGGACCCGAUCGUCACAGGAUUUGCUGCCCUUGGGUUCCCCAACUACAGCGGAGCGAUUGAUGGAACUCACAUCCCAAUCUGCGCACCACAUCGUUGAGCUGCCCAGUACAUCAACAGGAAAGUCUAUUUCCCAGUGUGCUGCAAGUCCUGGUCGACCAUCAUGGACAGUUUCCGGACAGUUUCGAUGGGUGGUCAGGCAGGGCACACGUAUUUAGAAACUCCAGUGUGUACCAGAAGCUGGAGGCAGGCACAUUCUUCCCCCGGCAUGACUUUGGGGUUGGGAAUGUGCAGAUGCCACUGUUCAUCAUGGUGAUGCGGCCUACCCCCGAUGCUGUGGCUGAUGAAGCUUUACACCAGCCACCAGGACUCCAGCAAGGAUCAAUUCAAUGCCCACCUUAGCUGGGCCCUCAUGCAGGUGGACUGCACCUUCGGGCACCUUCAGGCGAGGUUGUGGGAGAGCACAACAUCCCCGAGUGGUCUCCACAUGUGUCCUCCACAACACUGUGGAAAGGAAGGGGGAGGCCUUCUUAAUGGGGUCGGAGACAGAGGACGGCAGGGGAAGGGAGGGCCUUCGAGCAGCUGCAGACAGCUGCCAUCUGCCAGGCCCAUCAGCUGGGGGUGCGCAUUCCAGGAAGCCCUGAGGGAGAGUUCCUCUCAAGGACCCAAUAACUCUCCCCAGGGCCUCCCCACUAGGGCCUUGCUCCAUUAUCCCUUUCCCACCACAACCCCUCUCUUCCACCCUUCCCUGAACUCUCAGUA